AAUCCAUGAUGUGGGCAUCUUUCUAUCAGUGUUUUAAAAUGCUCCUAAGCUUCGUGAAAGCUUUUUCCUUCUAACUAUUUGAACGUUGCGAUCUCUCUCCUCGGUU
rfam:Gossypium arboreum cultivar AKA8401 contig_60208_1, whole genome shotgun sequence.